AUUGGCUACAUAUCCAGAUGGUCUGACGUCACCACCACGCUAAAUCUUUCCCAGUGUUAUAAAUAUGGCGAAGCAGUUAACAAAACCUGCACCAAACUUUGGGUCCUUUCUGAACCUCUUCCCGGAGGCAGGCUGCGUCUGGAAAAAAGAGCAAUGAACCCUUCUUCCAGAACACCAGGCAAUAAUACAAAGGCCUGGAGACCUUUUAUUCAGUGUACACCUAAAUAAGUUGUAGGGCUUCCUGGACAUCCUUCAGAAGCAGCCAAAUCUCUACAAGAGUCUCUCAGUGCACAGUGCACAGUGAACUUGGAGGAGAGGAAGAAGAUGGACAAGUGGAGCUAUCCAGUCGAACAGUUUUCACUGUCCCUAAAGUUAUGCUAUGGGUCAGGGACAAGUAUUUAUACAAAUCAUUUUUAAAUGUUGGCCUUAGACACUCACUGUAAAUAAGACAAAUAAAACCCAAUAGUUUACCCUUUUGACCUCCAUACAGCAAAGCGGCACAUCCCAAAUUAUGCUGAGCUGCAGGUCACCAGUCUAUGGUCCAUGAAGUGUCAGUCAUGAUGCAGCAUGGUGCAUUGUCCAGAAAAUGUUCGAAUUUUCAAACUAGUUUUCAUUGGGACGGCAGAUAAAGCAAUCGCUUACAUGUGAACAAAGAAUCCUACUCAUUACUCCACCUGCUUAAUUGCAUCACUUGUUUUUGUUACAUAUUGUAUCACAUGACAUUCUGUUGAUUUGUAUCUAUUUGAAUGUUUAUUUUCUGUCAAAAGGAUUACCUUUUCCCAUAGUUAAAGAAUUGGCUUAAUGACUGCAGCUCUUUGUAUUCAAACACUUCCAUUUUAGUCAUUUAAAUAAAUGUUGUCCAUAGUGUGGUGGUAGAAUGUGGUGAGCUGGUCUGUAGCCUAUUCUGUGUUGGACUGUGAUUUGCCUCUCAGACUCCUGGUAUGUCUGCACCCUAACACAAUGCAAUUGUGUUCUGGAACUGUUGCUUGUAUAAAUAACUUGUGUAGCAAUAGGAUUGUAUCAUCUCAUUAUAUAAGGGACAUGUAACCAUUUACUCUUUGAGUUUUUCCCAGUGAAAUCAGAGAUAUACCCUGCAGCUCAUUGAUUAAAGAUUUUUCUAUUAUACAA